CAAGGGUGAGGAAAGUCUGGACACCACAGAGCGGGAAGUCCGGCUGAAAGGCCGGAGGCCGCGGACCAAAUGCCGCGGUCAGGAUGAAAGUGCCACAGAAAAGAUACCGCCUGGGGCAACCUGGGUAAGGGUGAAAAGGUGAGGCAAGAGCUCACCGCGCCACGAGUAAUCGUGGCGGCAGGGUAAACCCCUUCCGGUGCAAGACCAAAUAGGGAACGGAGGCGCUGCUCGUGCCGUGCCAGCCUCGGCUGGUCAGAGUUCCGGGUAUCGGUCGCUUAGAAGAAUGGUCGUACAGCCUGGCUAAGAACCAGGUGGACAGAAUCUGGCUUACAGU
rnacentral:RNase_P_RNA from 1 species